AAUGAACGUUGGCGGCGUGGAUUAGGCAUGCAAGUCGAGCGCUCAUAGCAAUAUGGGAGCGGCGAACGGCGUAGGAAUUCAUAGGAACGUACCCUCAGGUCGGGGAUAGCUACGGGAAACUGUAGGUAAUACCCGAUUAUCUCCGUGGAGCAAAGGUGUGAUUCCGCCUGAGGAGCGGCUUAUGCGAUAUUAGCUAGUUGGUGGGGUAAUGGCCUACCAAGGCAAAGAUGUCUAGGGGGUGUGAGAGCAUGGCCCCCACGACGGAACUGNGACACUGUCCGGACACCUACGGGUGGCUGCAGUCGAGAAUCUUCCGCAAUAGGCGAAAGUCUGACGGAGCGACGCCGCGUGCGGGA
rnacentral:rRNA from 1 species